rnacentral:rRNA from 1 species
GACGACGCUGGCGGCGUGCUUAACACAUGCAAGUCGAACGAGCGGCGGACGGGUGAGUAAUGUAUGGGGAUCUGCCCGAUAGAGGGGGAUAACUACUGGAAACGGUAGCUAAUACCGCAUACUAUCGGAUGAACCCAUAUGGGAUUAGCUAGUAGGUGGGGUAAUGGCUCACCUAGGCGACGAUCCCUAGCUGGUCUGAGAGGAUGACCAGCCACACUGGAACUGAGACACGGUCCAGACUCCUACGGGAGGCAGCAGUGGGGAAUAUUGCACAAUGGGCGCAAGCCUGAUGUAGCCAUGCCGCGUGUGUGAAGAAGGCCUUCGGGUUGUAAAGCACUUUCAGCGAGGAGGCGUUACUCGCAGAAGAAGCACCGGCUAACUCCGUGCCAGCAGCCGCGGUAAUAC